rnacentral:lncRNA from 1 species
CUGGCUCAGCGGGCUGUAAAUUAUGAGCCAUUCUCUGGCUGGUGGAAAUAAAUCCUCUUGUCACUCACUGUGCUCUCCCCUUGACAGGCCAGCAGGCCGCCGGGAGCAGGCAGAGUCAGGAAUUCCAUGUCCGUGACCUGAGAGCCGCACCACUCCACCUCCUGGGCCUCACUCCGCCCUAUACACGCGCACACUUAAUGACAUCUCUGAUCAUGUCUUCAGGACGCAUACCCUCUUUGACUUGAAAAAGUAACAACUGUUUGUGGCCUUCUCACAGGCCGAAAAGAACAAGCGGGGUCCAGUGGAGAAAGGGGCUGACCUCCCAGGUGAUUCCCAGAGCCAGACCACAAUUCCAGAAUUCAGUGAAAACAGCGCCAAAU